rnacentral:rRNA from 1 species
CACGUAGUUAGCCGGGGCUUCUUAGUCAGGUACCGUCAUUUUCCUCCCUGCUGAUAGAGCUUUACAUACCGAAAUACUUCCUCACUCACGCGGCGCCGCUGCAUCAGGGUUUCCCCCAUUGUGCAAUAUUCCCCACUGCUGCCUCCCGUAGGAGUUUGGGCCGUGUCUCAGUCCCAAUGUGGCCGUCCACCCUCUCAGGCCGGCUACUGAUCGUAGGCUUGGUAGGCCUCUACCCUGCCAACUACCUAAUCAGACGCGGGCCCAUCUUACACCACCGGAGUUUUUACCACCCUGCCAUGCGGCAAUGUGGUCUUAUGCGGUAUUAGCAGUCAUUUCUAACUGUUAUCCCCCUGUGUAAGGCAGGUUGCCCACGCGUUACUCACCCGUCCGCCGCUCAGUCACUUCCUCGUCCCUCCGAAGAGUUCUAAUGAAGUGCUUCGCUCGACUUGCAUGUGUUAGGCACGCCGCCAGCGUUCAUCCUGAGCCAGGAUCAAACUCU